rnacentral:antisense_RNA from 1 species
UAUUCUUUGACAGUGCGUUCGGCGAUGGCGGUUGUCAUUCGAUCAAUGCUGUUAAGAAAGAACGUUUCAGACUUUAGUGAGGAAUGAAACGAUUCGAUGGAGGCAUUAUCAGUGG